UCUUUCAUGUAGGUCCUACCUUGUAUAUUUGAUGAGAUACGACUUACACAUAAUAGGUUAUGCCUAUUUCUGAGAGUCAGCUUACGAAACAACGAAAAAGACAACAGUAGAAGACCCGAAGCAGAGUUGAAAUUCCACUGGGGGACAUGCCCCCUUGAUCCCAGUCUCACUGUCCCUGCAGCCAGAGCCCUGGAGAAGACUUUUCACUGUUCCUCCUGUAUGGAACAGACAGCUCUCCAUCAAUACACCAUUCUUCUUGUUCAUCCAAUGGCGCAUCUGAACCUGUUUGUAAACGCUGUAUGUGAGCGUGACAGAAAAACACAUCAGCAAUGGUGAGGUGAAAGAGGAAGAGAGAGAGAGAGACAGGGGGGCAAAUGCAGAAGAGAGAGCACAAAUUAAAAAAGGAACCUUGGACACAGAAGAUGAUUAGCAAAAAAAAAGAGACAGAAGAAGAGACAGAUUGGAUGCUGGAACUGGGGAGAGACAAAGGCAGAGAGAGAGAGAAGCAGAGAGAGGGUUUGGGGGAAUGGAGCAUACGGCUGCCCUAAUGAUCAGAGGGAGUGUGGGAUGUCACCAGGACUGUGUAAC